rnacentral:lncRNA from 1 species
CCCCACUUCCAAACUGAUGCAUAGACACAGUGAUACAGGUGGAUACAGCAUCUCCUCUGCCCGUGCUGCCUCUGUGUUGGUUCUGUAAUCCUCAGUUCUCAGCAGACCUUUAUCCACAGGGUCCUUUCCAAACCUCCUGACCUCUCCAGGAGUUUGGUUGGACAGGUGAUAGGUGGUGCUGGCCUGUAGCUGGAAACGAUGAAACCCAAGGGAGGCACGUGCCUAAGGUCACACGAGUACUGAGCAGCCGCUCAUCUAAUGUCACAUCCUGACGAUUACAUAAGGAAGGGAGGAAGUUCCAUUUCGGGAGUGCUUAGGUACAAAAUUGGAAGUGAAGCUCGCUUCCUCUGGGAAUAGUAAGAACAAAGCCCCAGAAAGGUGCCUCCACUGGCCUGUUCUUCAGAGCUCCAGCAGGGCGAAGCAGAUCUGCUUUCCUGAACUUCACUCAUUCACAGCCCGGGGUUGAAGAUGGAGGACUCAGAGAAAGUGCUUUCAGGAAGGGAGCUGUCCUGACAUCUGGCUUUUAGCAGGAUAAAGAGGUCUGUUCUGGGAUUUUCCAUACUUGCAGAAUUUCCAUCAUGGACUUCACUGAGGAUCGGGAACUGGUGGAAUUUCAGGUAUAGAAGAAGUGGCUCAGCCCUUCUGUUAUUACACUCUUUCUGGCCAUGUUUGUUUUUGUUUAAACGAUACAGUUGAAGCCAUCUGGUUAUGACAACAUCAGAGCCCCAGCAUACUGUUCAUAAACCUCCCACUGCCACCACCUCUUCCCUUAGCUCCCCCACAUCUGAAAUUUAAUUCAAGUUAACUCCACAAUCUGGGCCAUGUGCUGUCACUGCAGAGAUGUCCGUGCCAGUGGAACAGUUGGAGAUUGCAAUUCCACAAGGAUAUGGCUUAUUUAUCAAAACAAUAUUUCAGGCAAGUAGUUCCACAGAACCUUUGGAGUUGUGGUUUGGGGGCCAAAUAGAAUAUCUGGCAAUGUCCCCUCCCCCACCUCCCUGUGGUCAGCCUCUGCCUCAUACCUGACCAUCCAUGGGGGAAGAUUUUUUUUUCCCAUUUCCUACGUGGAGAUUAAACCUGUCUGUUGUUAUUAGGCAGCUUGGAGACCUUUAUAGGUUUGAACAGCUUAGGAAAGAAAUGUCCCUCUUUCCCUUCUCACUGAUAAGGCUGCCGGCCUUCAGCUGUCAGAGAGCCGCUUUUUUUUUCUUUUCUUUUUUAAUUCUAGCCAGGAACAUGAAGGUCCUACGGCAGGCAGGCAGGCCCAAAGAUCUCUGGCUGGACCAGUGUUCCCAGAGUUCCUUUUAAAGCGUGGCUUCAGCCUAUCAUGGGAUCUCCAUGUUGGAUGAACCCAUAUGCAGAUGAAGGGAAACUCUGUGUUUGUGAGCAAGCACCCAGGCUGUGGAGAAGGGGUGGCCCUGCACGUGAAGCUGACUGGUGCUUUGUUCUGGCCCUUCAACUCCUAUAAAAGAACUGCUAAAUCAACAUGCAACAUGGCUGCAUUUGCAGCUUUCUGUAUACCUUUGUCAAAGAUAAAUUCUUGGCUGGAACCCAACCUUAUUUUCCACAACUAAUUAUCUUUUUAAUCAGCCUGGACCCCGUGUGUUUCCUUUGUCUCUCGACUUUUUCACCGUACUGUGCCCUCCAUCCUUUAGAUUCAUUUCUGAUGGCUUGCUGACUAAUCAAACAUUCAGGUGAGUCUCACUGGCCUGCCGUGUACGUGCCUGCACAAGGUAGCCAUGCUUUCCCUGCUUUUAAUUUCAGAGGUGGCUGUGCCACUGUGGGAACCUUUGACCCGAUAGGUGGAUGCCUCCUGGAUCCCGUGAGCAAGAAAGCAGAUGUAGAAGAUGAAUCUUGGGGAUAAUGAGCUGGGAGAACCAGAAGCUCUAACCUCCAGAUGAGAACAGAAACUUGAAUGUUGUUGGCUGAUGGGAUCUCUAAACCAUUAGCAAAUACUAGAAAUCUGUGUUGAUUGGCGCAC